GCCUGCUUCUCCUUUGCCUUCCAGCAUGAUUAUGACAGUGAGGGCCCUGGAGAAUGACAGAUUUACAAGAUGGAGACAACCUGGAUCCCUGAGUGACUGCAUGGAGGAUAGCACCCCCACCAACUUGAGUACCCUGAUUUCUUGUUACCUGUGCGAGAAAUAACAUUCCAUCAUUAGAGUCAUUAAACAUUUGAGUCUA